UCCCAGCAUGCGCCGCGCGUCGCCUGGCGUCACCGUGACGCACUUAAAAGCCCGGCCGCUCCCCCCGCUGUCUCGCUGCCGUCGCUCCGCGCGCCGGUUGUUAAGAGCGGCCGGCGCCGUACCGUCCGGCCUUGCUCCCCGCCGCUUCCCUUCCGCAGCCGCCGGGUGGCGGGCAGCCAUGUGAGGUGUGGCCCUUUCCCCCUAACGGCCGGCUCAACGGGCCCGUCCCCGCAGCGCCCGAGGGGCCGGGCCCGGCGCGGAGCGACCCGCCGGGGGGGCCGUCCCCGCUGAGCCGGGCCCCGCCGCGGUGAGCGGGCCGUGACAGCCGGCGGGGGCCCGGCGCUGCCCGCGGAGGACAAGCGCCCUCGGAGGAAGCCGCCGCGCCCGGCGGCGGGGGAAGGCGCCCGGCAUCAUGUGGCAGAGCAUCGGGCUGACCUUGCUGGUGAUCGUGGCCACCCUGGCCUGCGUGCUGCUGUUCAUGCUCUGCGGAAGUCCUCCCAUUUCUCUUGAUUACUGAAAUAACAGGUGUGGAUAUGAGAAAACACUGAUUCCUGGGCUGGCUUCUUGAAAACCUGGUUUCCUAUAAGGGGGAAGUGGAUGGAGAAGAAAGGAAGGCUUCAGCCUGGCUGCAUGAAGACAGAAGAAUCUGCCCAGGAGGGUGAUGUUAAAGGCCGGGCUUCCUUUGUCCUGCUGCCCUGAAGUCGUUCAUGUGCUGUUUGGAUCUGGAGGGUUGCUGCUGCUGUUUUAACAGCUUCUAGCACUCAUCUGGGCAGUAUAAGUCAUAACUGAGGGUAAAUUGUUAGGAUUAAAAAGAGCAAGUGGGUUGGCUGUAAUUGCCUAGAAGGCAUUGGGGGGUGACACAGGUUCUGUUAUGCUGCAGCUCUGCCUGAUAGCAGACAACUCCUGUGAGUCCCGUGUGGCACAGGAGCAGCAGUCCUGCCUGCAGCAUGGGAGAGCACCUGUAGAAAGAGCUGCAGAUCACCUCCUGGCCAGCUGCUGCCUGCAGCUGCUCCCUGGGCUGCUGCAGCUGCUAUGUGCCCCCACCAGCUGCCCGUCCUCUGGGGCCUUGAUAGUGCAAAGACACCUCUGAGAUACUACCAGCAGGAGGAAGGAUUGGAGGCAGCCUGCUCUGUGUGUUGACAGACUGGGCUUCGUUUGCUCCUGUCCAGCCUCCACCCUGAGAUUGGCUGGAGUCCAUCCAUCCCAUCAAGGAAAAUGAGCCCCAAAUCAAGCUCCCAUAGCAACUGGAGCAAUUCUUUCAACUUCCCUUUCAUGCUGUAUAGGAGAGACACCCUCUCCCUCUUCAUCUCCAUCCACCAAGUGACCCCAGUGUCUGCAAUUAUACUGGAUUUUCUCCCCUCUCCAUUACCCUUCUCAUUCAUGUUAGAGGAGAUAAGCAGGCCAUCAGUAUUUCCACUGGGACUGCAGGCUACCUCAAAAAUAAUUGUAAGAGACAGUGGGUGAGCCUGGGAAGGGAUGAGGAUGUGGUAAGAGAAGGAGUGUGUGUCACUGAAGGCGUUUGGCACAUGCUUCUUGUACUGGGAAGAAGACAGGAUAGGCCAAGGAUGUUGUUUUAAGGUGCUGGUAUUCAAGAGAAGGAAUGGUUUAUCUAGGAAACACCUGGUACUUUUGUGGCUAAAGCACUGGAUUUUGAGGUGUCCCUAGUAUAGAUAAAGUAAGUAUACUCCUUUAUGUAGCAGGUAGUGAAAAAUUGGAGCUUGCUGCUGCUCAAUAUAAUCAAGAUGCUUUCUUGAACCUGAUCAUACAGGCUAAUUGGGAAAUUCAUGGACAGAUCCCAGAUUCAUGGGAUAAUGACAGGAGAAGGCAGGGAAGCAUUUCCCAGCAUCACUAGUGUAAUGAUUAUGAGUACCGGGCAGAGCCAGGUUAGUGAGCUUGCCCCAAACAUGUCCUCCUGCCAUCCUUGAAGACAGAACACAGGGCUACAGGGAUCAUGGCCUGAUCCAACAGGGCCUUUCUCACAUUCUUAAAUAUUGGUGGGUUGAUGGUUGGAGAUGUUUGGAAAACAAAACAAAACCUCAACUGAAUUUUGAAAAACAAAAACACAUCCUGAACUAAAGAAGGCUCCAAAGAUGGGUGAAAAAAUUCCUCUGUUUUAUAAAUAGCUGUCAUGAUUACUGUUAAUAAUAAUAAAUGACCCUUCCAGCAAGAGAAAUCAUUUUGUAUUGCAAAUCUGGCAAGACUGCAUCUCUUCCUGCCCCCCUGUGCCCAUUGCCAAGGACGCUCUGCCUGCUGGGGGGCACCUGGGGGAGGUCAGGGCUGCCCUUCCCUUCUGGGUAUUGCACUGGAGUCAGCAGGUCUGAGACUGUCCCACCUUCUGUGUAGUUGUUUUCACCUGUGCAAAGAGUCUGUGAAAGGCUAAUAAACCAGUGUUUCUAUCUGUGCAACAGGUAGAGUUUGAAAAGCUUUGUUUACAGUGUAAGCAAGAGCUAGAACCACAUCAAGCCUGGAUGACUUGCUGCUGUGACUGUAGAAGGAGCUUUAAAAAUAAAUGCUUCUCAGUCCCUGAGAAGGGCCCCAGCUGUGGCUCUUCUGUAAGUAAGGUUUGUGCUAUGAUCUUCAUGUCUGUGGAAAGGAUAUGUUGCUGAGGAAGGAAAAUAAAAGCCUGCACAAUCUUCUA